CACUACUUAAGUCUCGUGUGCAACCCUGUUGUCUACCAACAGAUACCUUUCAGUUGUUUCCUGCCUCAUUUGGUAGCAUCUGCUUGGAAGUCAAAGGGAAGGUGAUACCUGUGCCUUGUAAUAGGCUGGCCAUGAACCAAGAGGAAAGUGAGCUGGAAAUGAGAGCCAUAGGAAUUUGGAUGGUCAAGAACAUGCUCCAGUCAGUCCUUGAAUCCACAGAAUCAAACCAGCAUCUCACCGUGGGGAGCAUCAUUAGUAUGAGCGUCAUUGGCAUCAUCAUUAUCAUCAUCACCACCAUCACCGUCAUGCUAGUGGAAACACAGUUCUGUCCAACAAAUAAUAAUUGAGCCUUGACUAUGUUCUGGACACUGGAAUACAUGCCGGGGGAGAGAGAGCAAGAUGAACUUGUUCCAUCGCGAGAUGCUCCCGAACUUCUCACGCCGUCAGGUUCAGGCCUGAAGUCCAGGAUCUUGUCUUUGGUAUCAUUUCCAGUUUCAGGUGUACAGCAAAGUGAGAGAUUGGUUCAAGAUGGUGGAGUAGAAGGACAUGUGCUCACUCCCUCUUGUGAGAGCACGUGAAUCACAACGAACUGCUGAACAAUCAUUGACAGGAAGACACUGGAACUCACCAAAAAAAAAUACCCCACAUCCAAAGACAAAGGAGAAGCCACAGUGAGACGGUAAAAGGGGCGCAAUCACAAUCAAAUCAAAUCCCAUAACUGCUGGGUGGGUGACUCACACACUGGAGAACACUUAUACCACAGAAGUCCACCCACUGGAGUAAAGCUUCUGAGGCCCACGUCAGGUUUCCCAACCUGGGGGUCCGGCAAUGGGAGGAGGAAUUCCUAGAGAAUCAGACUUUGAAGACUAGAGGGAUUUGAUUGCAGGACUUCAACAGGACUGGGGGAAACAGAGACUCCACUCUUGGAGGGCACACACAAAGUAGUGUGUGCAUCGGGACCCUGGGUAAGGUGCGGUGACCCCAUAGAAGACUGAGCCGGACCUACCUGCUAGUGUUGGAGGGUCUCCUGCAGAGGUGGGGUGUGGCUGUGGCUCAUUGUGGGGACAAGGACACUGGCAGCAGAAGUUCUGGGAAGUACUCCUUGGCGUGAGCCCUCCCAGAGUCCGCCAUUAGCCCCACCAAAGAGCCGGUACGCUCCAUUGCUGGGUCACCUCAGGCCAAACAACCAACAGGGAGGGAACCCAGCCCCACUCAUCAGCAGACAAGGGGAUUAAAGUUUUACUGAGCUCUGCCCACCACCAGUCCCUCCCAUCAGGAAGCUUGCACAAGCCUCUUAGAUAACCUCAUUACCAGAGGGCAGACAGCAGAAGCAAGAAGAACUAUAAUUCUGCAGCCUGUGGAAGGAAAACCACAUUCACAGAAAGAUAAACAAAAUGAAAAGGCAGAGGACUUUGUACUACAUGAAGGAACAAGAUAAAACACCAGAAAAACAACUGAAUGAAGUGGAGAUAGGCAACCUUCCAGAAAAAGAAUUCAGAAUAAUGAUAGUGAAGAUGAUCCAGGACCUCUGAAAAAGAAUGGAGGUGAAGAUCGAGAAGAUACAAGAAAUGUUUAAUAAAGACCUAGAAGAAUUAAAGAACAAACAGAGAUAAACAAUACAAUAACUGAAAUGAAAAAUACACUAGAAGGAAUCAAUAGCAGAAUAACUGAGGCAGAAAAACAGAUAAGUGACCUGGAAGACAGAAUGGUAGAAUUCACUGCCACGGAACAGAAUAAAGAAAAAAGAAUGAAAAGAAAUGAAGACGGCCUAAGAGGCCUCUGGGACAACAUUAAAUGCCACAACAUUCGCAUUAUAGGGGUCCCAAAAAGGAGAUGAGAGAGAGAAAGGACCAGAGAAAAUAUUUGCAGAGAUUAUAGUCGAAAAUUUCCCUAAUAUGGGAAAGGAAAGAGCCACCCAAGUCCAGGAAGCGCAGAGAGUCCCAGGCAGGAUAAACCCAAGAGAAACAUGCCUAGACACAUAAUAAUCAAAUUGACAAAAAUUAAAGACAAAGAAAAAUUAUUGAAAGCAGCAAGGGAAAAAUGACAACAUACAAGGGAACUCCCAUAAGGUUAACAGCUGAUUUCUCAGCAGAAAUUCUACAAUUCAGAAGGGAGUGGCAUGAUAUAUUUAAAGUGAUGAAAGGGAAGAACCUACAACCAAGAUUACUCUACCCGGCAAGGAUCUCAUUCAGAUUUGAUGGAGAAAUCAAAAGCUUUACAGACAAGCAAAAGCUAAGAGAAUUCAGCACCACCAAACCAGCUCUACAACCAAUGCUAAAGGAACUUAUCUAAAUGGAAACACAAGAGAAGAAAAGGACCUACAAAAACAAACCCAUAACAAUUAAGAAAAUGGUAAUAGGAACAUACAUAUCAAUAAUUACCUUAAAUGUGAAUGGAUUAAAUGCUCCAACCAAAAGACACAGGCUUGCUGAAUGGAUACAAAAACAAGACCCAUAUAUAUGCUGUCUACAGAGACCCAUUUCAGACCUAGGGACACAUACAGACUGAAAGUGAGGGGAUGGAAAAAGAUAUUCCAUGCAAGUGGAAAUCAAAAGAAAGCUGGAAUAGCAAUACUCAUAUCAGAUAAAAUAGACUUUAAAAUAAAGAAUGUUACAAGAGACAAGGAAGGACACUACAUA